UUACGGCAAUAUCACGUUGAAACACCGCUUCCAGCACGAUCAGCGAAGUAAAGCAACAUCGCGCCUGGUCAGUACCUAGAUGGGUGACCGCUUUGGAAUAUCACGUGCUGUAA